AUAUCCUUAUUGCUAAUUUACCUCAAGUUUAUCUAACAUGGUUGAAAUGAGCGCUGUAAAGUUUCAUGUCUAAGCUCAAUUUUUAUCCUAAGUCCUGAAGUAAUUAUUUUGGUUACAUCAUAGUUUGCUGAGAAUAUUAACUUGAACAUUGUAUGUAUGCCCUGAUGCAUGUACACACACGGUUCAGCAAAUAUUGAGCUACAGCGAAACAACCUGGAGCUAGAGAACAUCAAGGAUAAGAUCAAGGAAGUUCUUGCCUUGUUGGCAACAUUGUGAGACCAUGACCAAGCAUGACAAGAAGGGAGGCUCGUCAACCACCUACCAGCACACCUAUCAUGACCGAUGAUGAGACGCUGAAGGUUACGAGAGAUGAUGCUGGAGAGAAGCCCUUCUUAUAGGUCUGCACAUAAGCGGAAGUUCCUGGGUAUGCAAGAUUCGAUGGUUAAACUGGUUGAUGUGAUGUGAAUGAGUGUAUGGAAACUGGUUGUUGUGAUGUGAAUGAGUGUAUGUAGUUUCACGU